rnacentral:misc_RNA from 1 species
UCUCCGUUGGUGAACCAGCGGAGGGAUCAUUAUAGAGUGUAAAACUCCCAAACCCAAUGUGAAUCUUACCGCGUUGCUUCGGCGGCAGGAGCUCCGAGAGGAGACCGGCCGCCGGAGGACCCAAAAACUCUUGUAUUUGAAUGAGUCUUCUCUGAGUAGCGCAAGCAAAAACAAAAUAAAUCAAAACUUUCAACAACGGAUCUCUUGGUUCUGGCAUCGAUGAAGAACGCAGC